rnacentral:rRNA from 1 species
AUGGGCAAGCUCCUCUGCGAGUCCUCCUCCGGCGGCGGCGCCGUCGCCGUCGCCGAGGCCCUCCCGCCCUCCCCCGCCCCGGCCUCGCCGCCGCAGCUCCUCGCCUGGGCCGCCCCCGACCCCCCCGCCGGCUGGUCCGCCGUCUGGGCGCUCGACGACCAGCAGCGCCGCCGCCUGCUCCGGAUCUGGGAGCGCGGCGUCGCCUGGAAGCCGCCCCGCCAGGGGGGCGACGGCCCGGAGGCCCCGCCCCCCGCCGUCGUCUUCCGCCUCGACCACGGCGGGGAGGUCGAGUCCGACGGCAACUGCCUCUUCACCGCCGCGCGGAGGGCCGCCGCCGCCAAGGCCGAGGCGCGCGAGCUCCGGCACCGCGCCGUGCGCCGCUUCGCCGACGUCUACGCCGCGGCCGAGGCCUCCGACAGGGCCGCGGUCGACGCCGCCGUGCGCCACCUCUACGCGCCGGAUCUCAAGGCCGGCUGGGGCGUCCACGUCGUGCAGGAGGUCAAGCUGCUCGCGCCCAAGGCCGACCGCGACGCCCUCGACGCCGCCAUCCAGGAGCUCGUCGACAUCGGCAUCCAAAGGGAACUGGCAGCCGAGACUAUCUACAAGGAGAGAUGUAUUGCUGUAGACGAUGGAGAUAGUUGGGCCAAGUACAUGUCCAUUUCUGGUUCGGCGGAGGAUGAGCAUGACAUAAUCACCCUGCAGUACACAGAGGAGGGCUUACUGACCAUUGAUGAGAACCGGGAUGGGCGUGCGGCUGCGUUUGGCGAUGAUAUUGCCAUCGAGUGCCUCGCCACCGAGUUCAAGAGAGAAGUUUUCGUGGUACAAGCACAUGGCACCGAUGCAAUGGUUGAUGAGGAUAACUGCGUGUUCUUCCUCCCACACCUCCCUAGAGGAGAAAUCUGUGAUGUGCCCAUCUUUCUAUUCAUGAAGGGAACAGCAUGGUGCGGUGCUGGUGCAGACCAUUACGAGCCAUUGAUCGCCACCGUCCUCCAGCAUGUUACUCCAGACAAGGCAGCUGUUGUACUUUGA